rnacentral:misc_RNA from 1 species
UGUGCACAUGCAUGAGGCCUCAG